rnacentral:rRNA from 1 species
UGGGGAAUCUUCCGCAAUGGACGAAAGUCUGACGGAGCAACGCCGCGUGAGUGAUGACGGCCUUCGGGUUGUAAAGCUCUGUUAAUCGGGACGAAUGGUUCUUGUGCAAAUAGUGCGAGGCUUUGACGGUACCGGAAUAGAAAGCCACGGCUAACUACGUGCCAGCAGCCGCGGUAAUACGUAGGUGGCAAGCGUUGUCCGGAAUUAUUGGGCGUAAAGCGCGCGCAGGCGGAUUGGUCAGUCUGUCUUAAAAGUUCGGGGCUUAACCCCGUGAUGGGAUGGAAACUGCCAAUCUAGAGUAUCGGAGAGGAAAGUGGAAUUCCUAGUGUAGCGGUGAAAUGCGUAGAUAUUAGGAAGAACACCAGUGGCGAAGGCGACUUUCUGGACGAAAACUGACGCUGAGGCGCGAAAGCCAGGGGAGCGAACGGG